CAGUAGCCGCGGUAAUGCGUAGGUGGCAAGCGUUGUCCGGAAUUAUUGGGCGUAAAGGGCUCGCAGGCGGUUUCUUAAGUCUGAUGUGAAAGCCCCCGGCUCAACCGGGGAGGGUCAUUGGAAACUGGGAAACUUGAGUGCAGGAGAGGAGAGUGGAAUUCCACGUGUAGCGGUGAAAUGCGUAGAGAUGUGGAGGAACACCAGUGGCGAAGGCGACUCUCUGGUCUGUAACUGACGCUGAGGAGCGAAAGCGUGGGGAGCGAACAGGAUUAGAUACCCCCGUAGUCCCUGUCUCUUAUAC
rnacentral:rRNA from 1 species